rnacentral:rRNA from 1 species
GACGAACGCUGGCGGCGUGCCUAAUACAUGCAAGUCGAGCGGACAAAGAGGAGCUUGCUCCGCGAUGUUAGCGGCGGACGGGUGAGUAACACGUGGGCAACCUGUCUGUAAGACUGGGGUAACUUCGGGACACCGGAGCUAAUACGGCAUAAUACUUUUGGACUCAUGUUCGGAAGCUGUUAGAUUGGCUCGGCUAUCACGUAAAAGUGGACCCGUGGGGCGUUAGCUAGUUGGUGAGGUAACGGGUUUCCAAAGCCACGAUGCGUAGCCCGCCUGAGAGGGUCAUUGGCCACACGGUGACUGAGACACGUCCCAGACUCCGGCGGUAGGCCGCAGCACAGACUCUUCCGCGAUGGACCAGAGUCUAACGGUGCACCGCCGCGUGAGGCAUGAAGGUUUUCUGACCGUAAAACUCUGUUGUUAGGGAAGUACAAGUGCCCUAUUAACUGCCAGGAUCUUGACGGUACCGAACCAGAAAGCCCCGGCUAACUCCGUG